CUACGGGUCGCUCCAGUGGGGAAUAUUGCACAAUGGGGGAAACCCUGAUGCAGCAACGCCGCGUGGAGGAUGACGCAUUUCGGUGUGUAAACUCCUUUUAUAUAGGAAGAUAAUGACGGUACUAUAUGAGUAAGCACCGGCUAACUCCGUGCCAGCAGCCGCGGUAAUACGGAGGGUGCAAGCGUUACUCGGAAUCACUGGGCGUAAAGCGCGCGCAGGCGGCCUUUUAAGUUGGAUGUGAAAGCCUAUGGCUUAACCAUAGAACUGCAUCCAAAGCUAUCAGGCUAGAGUCUGGGAGGGGAAGAUGGAAUUAGUUGUGUAGGGGUAAAAUCCGUAGAGAUAACUAGGAAUACCAAAAGCGAAGGCGAUCUUCUGGAACAGUACUGACGCUGAGGCGCGAAAGCGUGGGGAGCAAACAGGAUUAGAUACCCGUGUAGUC
rnacentral:rRNA from 1 species